ACUGAUAACUUAAGACUGUCGUGCUAAUGAUAAUGCUAUUCCAGCAAUCUGGUAGAAAGAUUGUUUUAAACGUAGUUUCAAGUGUCAAAAUGAAAAUCGCGAAUUAUGUGUGUUACACACUCCUGUACAGUAGAUGGCGGUAUGCACCUAAACGUUGUUUGCAAUCUGGUGUUAAUCAAGAGAAGAAGCAGCAGAAGCAGAAGGAAAAAGUGUCGGAGUCACGGGGUACGAUGGAAGAGGUGACCCUGGAUCCUGCAGCAAUUUCUGCCAAUGUGCGGGAGGACAGUGCUAAUGAAGAACUAAAUAAUAAACAUGUUGUACUCUC